rnacentral:rRNA from 1 species
GACAGAGGUUGCAAACGUUGUUCGGAAUCACUGGGCAUAAAGCGCACGUAGGCGGUCUGUUAAGUCAGGUGUGAAAGCCCCCGGCUCAACCGGGGAAUUGCAUUUGAUACUGGCAGGCUCGAGAACGGUAGGGGUGAGUGGAACUCCAGGUGGAGCGGUGAAAUGCGUAGAUAUCUGGAGGAACACCGGUGGCGAAAGCGGCUCACUGGACCGUCACUAACGCUGAGGUGCGAAAGCUAGGGUAGCAAACGGG